CCUACGGGGGGCAGCAGUGAGGAAUAUUGGUCAAUGGACGAGAGUCUGAACCAGCCAAGUAGCGUGAAGGAUGACUGCCCUAUGGGUUGUAAACUUCUUUUAUAAAGGAAUAAAACGAGGCACGUGUGCCUUUUUGCAUGUACUUUAUGAAUAAGGAUCGGCUAACUCCGUGCCAGCAGCCGCGGUAAUACGGAGGAUCCGAGCGUUAUCCGGAUUUAUUGGGUUUAAAGGGAGCGUAGGUGGAUUGUUAAGUCAGUUGUGAAAGUUUGCGGCUCAACCGUAAAAUUGCAGUUGAAACUGGCAGUCGUGAGUACAGUAGAGGUGGGCGGAAUUCGUGGUGUAGCGGUGAAAUGCUUAGAUAUCACGAAGAACCCCGAUUGCGAAGGCAGCUUACUAAACUGUGACUGACAUUGAUGCUCGAAAGUGUGGGUAUCAAACAGGAUUAGAUACCCUUGUAGUC
rnacentral:rRNA from 1 species